AGAUGUCAUGGUUUUGUAACUUCGCUAUUGGUAUUCCACAUCAUAACAUCAUGGACAAAAGAGAAGAACUACGUAUCCCAGAGGACCUCACGGUCAGAGAAGGAAGACACAUCACGGAAGAUACGUCAUCUGGUUGCGCGCGGUUCUUCUUCACUUUCGCUUGCUGCCAGGAGAGUGUGCUCCCAAGCCGGGAGUGCUUUCCCAAGCUUGGGUGUGCUUUCCAAGCCGGGCGCCUUCAUCAAAUGAGCUUGAGAGAGUGAACCCUGUAAAUUUAGAAGGCAUUGAAGGAGGCCUGAGAGAACCUCUAGGGGGCUUUGAGAUUUCGAUACUUUGAAAAUUCUGGAUGAGUUCUCCCACAAACCAAGGACCACCCCUUUGGCUGGACCAGCACUGGAACCUGGACUGAAGUGUAUCUCCUUUACCAGUUUAUUUGCUAGCUGCUAAUAAAUCCAACUAGUGAAGAUCAGGUUUGUGGCCACCUGAGGAACUUGAUCACCUACAAGUCUAUGGGUCCCAAUGAGAUGCAUCCCAGAGUCCUGAGAGAAUUUGCUGAUGUAGUUGCCAAGCCACUCUUUGUGAUAUUUGAACAGUUGUGGCAAUCAGGAGAAGACCCUGGUAACUGGAAGAAAAGGCAGCAUCAUACCCAUUUUUAAUAAGGGUAAAAGGGAUGAUCCUGAGAACUACUGUCCUAUCAGUCUCACCUCUGUACCAGGAAAGAGAGCAGAUCCUCCUGGAAGCUAUACUAAGAUACAUGGAAGGCAAGGAGGUGAAGUAGGAGAACCAGCAUGGCUUCACCAGUGCCAAAUCCUGUUUGACUAACAUGGUGGCCUUUUAUGAUGGUGUCACUGCAUCUGUGUAUAAGGGAAGAGACACUGAUGUCAUCUAUCUGGUCUUCAGUAAGGCCUUUUACAUGAUACCCCCAUUACAUUCUUCUCUCCAAAUUGGAAAUAUAUGGAUUUGAUGGGUGGACUGUUCAAUGGAUGAAGAACUGGCUGCAGGAUUGAGUCCAGAGAGUUGAACUGACUAGGAAAUUAUUCCAACAACAAAGAAAUGGCAUAUUGACUUUUUUGAUGAAGAAUGCUCAUUACACUAACAGUAAGAAAAAGUCACUUUUGUACUGACACAUGAGUAUUGUUUCUUUGUGACAUGUAUUCUGAUACUUUCUUACUUAUUUGUGUGUGUCUUACUUUGGUAUCACUAAAACAAAGGAAAAUAAACAUCACUAGCUGUGUAAAGGAGGGUCAGCUGCGAUUUAGAUCGAAAGGAAGAAAAAUGUUCAGUGUAAAACUUCACUUACGUGCCCCAAACAUACCUAUGUUCAUGGUGAUUAUCUACUAGGAAAAACCACAGUGUGAUUGCCAAAUUUAC
rnacentral:lncRNA from 1 species